rnacentral:sRNA from 1 species
GCACGGAGGGAUUCUCCUCCCGCAGAGCAA